rnacentral:rRNA from 1 species
UAGUGGCGAACGGGUGAGUAACACGUGGGCAAUCUGCCCUUCACUCUGGGACAAGCCCUGGAAACGGGGUCUAAUACCGGAUACGACCACCGACCGCAUGGUCUGGUGGUGGAAAGCUCCGGCGGUGAAGGAUGAGCCCGCGGCCUAUCAGCUUGUUGGUGGGGUGAUGGCCUACCAAGGCGACGACGGGUAGCCGGCCUGAGAGGGCGACCGGCCACACUGGGACUGAGACACGGCCCAGACUCCUACGGGAGGCAGCAGUGGGGAAUAUUGCACAAUGGGCGAAAGCCUGAUGCAGCGACGCCGCGUGAGGGAUGACGGCCUUCGGGUUGUAAACCUCUUUCAGCAGGGAAGAAGCGAGAGUGACGGUACCUGCAGAAGAAGCGCCGGCUAACUACGUGCCAGCAGCCGCGGUAAUACGUAGGGCGCAAGCGUUGUCCGGAAUUAUUGGGCGUAAAGAGCUCGUAGGCGGCUUGUCACGUCGGAUGUGAAAGCCCGGGGCUUAACCCCGGGUCUGCAUUCGAUACGGGCAGGCUAGAGUUCGGUAGGGGAGAUCGGAUUUCU